AACGAACGCUGGCGGCAGGCUUAACACAUGCAAGUCGAACGCCCCGCAAGGGGAGUGGCAGACGGGUGAGUAACGCGUGGGAAUCUACCCAGUUCUACGGAACAACAGUUGGAAACGACUGCUAAUACCGUAUACGCCCUAAGGGGGAAAGAUUUAUCGGAAUUGGAUGAGCCCGCGUUGGAUUAGCUAGUUGGUGGGGUAAUGGCCUACCAAGGCGACGAUCCAUAGCUGGUCUGAGAGGAUGAUCAGCCACACUGGGACUGAGACACGGCCCAGACUCCUACGGGAGGCAGCAGUGGGGAAUAUUGGACAAUGGGCGCAAGCCUGAUCCAGCCAUGCCGCGUGAGUGAUGAAGGCCUUAGGGUUGUAAAGCUCUUUCAGUGGGGACGAUAAUGACGGUACCCACAGAAGAAGCCCCGGCUAACUUCGUGCCAGCAGCCGCAGUAA
rnacentral:rRNA from 1 species